GCCACUUUUGGAAGCCAGGAGUGCUCUCCUCUGUGCAAUAGAAGACGCACCUUUCCCCAGACCUUUUGGAAGAGCUCUAGCAAUGAUGGUUUGAAAAAGGUUUCUAUCUCUGGUGCUGCUGUAUUCCCACUCUUCCCCACAAACACUGCAGUGUCUGAACAGCUAUGAUCUCUCCAAUGUGUUUAUCCUCUCAACACGCCUGGGAGGGAUGAAGAACUCAAUUUUGCAGGGGCUGAGCGACCUCUUUUCUCCACAAGUUUACCUGACUGCAGCUGAGGAUUCUUAGCACAUCUCAGAAAUGCACUUCACUUCCAAGGAGAGAAAUUCUGACUCCUUUGAAGCUGAUGGGAGUUCUGCCAUCAGUCUGGCUGAGUUUUCUUCCAUGGCCUGUAAAACAGAUCUGUCUGCUGUCUGCAUGUGUA